AGUGUGACACGUUGUGGAAGACUAGUGAUUUUGUUGUUGUAAAUUAACAUUUUUGGACAACAAGUCACAGUCUACCUCAGUGUUUCCCACCCAAA
ensembl:miRNA